rnacentral:rRNA from 1 species
UCCGUGAGCUAACCCUACUUCGGUAGGGGGGCAGCGGCCGAGGGUGGGGCUGGUGACUGGGACGAAGUCGUAACAAGGUAGCCGUAGCGGAAGCUGCGGCUGGAUCACCUCCUUU